ACGAGGCACUACGGUGCUGAAGCAACAAAUGCCCUGCUUCCAGGAAAAGCCUCUAAGCAUCAGGUAACAUCAAAUCGUACCCCAAACCGACACAGGUGGUCAGGUAGAGAAUACCAAGGCGCUUGAGAGAACUCGGGUGAAGGAACUAGGCAAAAUGGUGCCGUAACUUCGGGAGAAGGCACGCUGAUAUGUAGGUGAAGCGGUUUACCCGUGGAGCUGAAAUCAGUCGAAGAUACCAGCUGGCUGCAACUGUUUAUUAAAAACACAGCACUGUGCAAACACGAAAGUGGACGUAUACGGUGUGACGCCUGCCCGGUGCCGGAAGGUUAAUUGAUGGGGUCAGCGCAAGCGAAGCUCCUGAUCGAAGCCCCGGUAAACGGCGGCCGUAACUAUAACGGUCCUAAGGUAGCGAAAUUCCUUGUCGGGUAAGUUCCGACCUGCACGAAUGGCGUAAUGAUGGCCAGGCUGUCUCCACCCGAGACUCAGUGAAAUUGAACUCGCUGUGAAGAUGCAGUGUACCCGCGGCAAGACGGAAAGACCCCGUGAACCUUUACUAUAGCUUGACACUGAACAUUGAGCCUUGAUGUGUAGGAUAGGUGGGAGGCUUUGAAGUGUGGACGCCAGUCUGCAUGGAGCCGACCUUGAAAUACCACCCUUUAAUGUUUGAUGUUCUAACGUGGACCCGUUACCCGGGUUGCGGACAGUGUCUGGUGGGUAGUUUGACUGGGGCGGUCUCCUCCUAAAGAGUAACGGAGGAGCACGAAGGUUGGCUAAUCCUGGUCGGACAUCAGGAGGUUAGUGCAAUGGCAUAAGCCAGCUUGACUGCGAGCGUGACGGCGCGAGCAGGUGCGAAAGCAGGUCAUAGUGAUCCGGUGGUUCUGAAUGGAAGGGCCAUCGCUCAACGGAUAAAAGGUACUCCGGGGAUAACAGGCUGAUACCGCCCAAGAGUUCAUAUCGACGGCGGUGUUUGGCACCUCGAUGUCGGCUCAUCACAUCCUGGGGCUGAAGUAGGUCCCAAGGGUAUGGCUGUUCGCCAUUUAAAGUGGUACGCGAGCUGGGUUUAGAACGUCGUGAGACAGUUCGGUCCCUAUCUGCCGUGGGCGCUGGAGAACUGAGGGGGGCUGCUCCUAGUACGAGAGGACCGGAGUGGACGCAUCACUGGUGUUCGGGUUGUCAUGCCAAUGGCACUGCCCGGUAGCUAAAUGCGGAAGAGAUAAGUGCUGAAAGCAUCUAAGCACGAAACUUGCCCCGAGAUGAGUUCUCCCUGAGACUUUAGGUCUCCUGAAGGAACGUUGAAGACGACGACGUUGAUAGGCCGGGUGUGUAAGCGCAGCGAUGCGUUGAGCUAACCGGUACUAAUGAACCGUGAGGCUUAACCUU
rnacentral:rRNA from 1 species